rnacentral:lncRNA from 1 species
CUUCUCUCUCUCUUCCUCCUGCUCUGGCCAUGUGAAGACGUGCCUGAUUUCCUUUGCCUUCCACCAUGGUUUUAGCAUCACAAGUAGAAACAUAUUCACCAACAGGAAGUCCUGGAACACAGCCAGUGCAACAGCAGUGAAGUUAUUCUUUGCUACAAUACUGCUCCACUGGACUAAACAAGUAUAAAAAAUGGAUGACAGCAGGAGGACACCUGGCCAGCUGUUGUAUGGUGAGCUGAACUGAGGAGAUCUCAAAUAGGGCAGGCUGAAGGAACAUGCCACAGACACAUUGAAGAACAAUUUCAAGUAAUGGAAGCAUGGCUGCAGAAGACUGGGAAAUAAUAUCAGGAGGAAGACUGACCCAAUGUGGAGCAAUUGGAGCAGCAAAGGUGUGCAGCCAGGUGAAGCUGCAGCAUUUCAGCUUGCAACAGCUUUUGUAAAGAGCAGUCCCUCUCCCAAUCAAAGAGCCCCAUCCACCUGUAUUAUCUGAGUAAACAUGGCAGAUUUCUUACCAUACGUUUUAGUAGUAUUUCAAUUUUUUAAAUAUAUUUUUAUGAAAAAAAUCUCAGUCAGUGCUAUGUUCAAAUAGUUUCAAGUUUCCAAAAGUUCUUGCAUAAUGACUAGUACCAUACACAAAUUAAACAUAUAGUAGGUUUGGAAGCAGGUGUGUCCAUACAGAAAAUAAUUGUGUUAAGGAACUUGCACAUAUCUGUUUUCCUUCACAGCUUUUCUGGAAGGUCAGUUAAUCUGUGGCAGUCGGGAUAUAGUGAAGUAGUUAAAAGCAGUUUUAGGAGUCAGGCCAUCCACGAGUUAAAAUCACGUCCACAGCAAUUAACACAAUUUUAGCCCUGGGCAAAUUGCACACCUCUCUUUCCUUCCAUUAGAAUAUUUAUAUAAAGAGGCACUCAUAGGGCUAUUGGAAGUAUAAUCUUCAGAAAAUGCUCAGCUCUGUGCCUGACUACAUAGUUAUUACCAGGGGACCUAUAUUUUUUCUGAAUAGUCCAUAUAAAAUAAACAAGAAUUCAGUCGUUCUCAUACACAAUAUUGGUGUUUCAAGGAAAUGUAUAGAAUCUGUGCAAAAUGGAGUGUGGGUUCUAUUCAAUAUUAUAGUACCUUUUUAUGUGAAAGGAAACUAAAUGAUAAUGAAAAAUAUUAGUUUCUGAAGGAAUACUUUAAGAAGUGGAUAAAAUACAUUUAUGAAUUAUAUUUGAAACUGACUUUCAAUUGAACUGUAUGCGGUCUUUGCAUUUUCCAUUUUUAUCUGUCUGUUUACUAUCAUAGUGCCUGAGAGAAUGACUCAAUAGCUAAGUGGUUGUAGAAUGCAUGAAUGUAGUGUGCACUUAAAUCAACUCCAGAGCCUUGAUUUAGUUGCUAAUACACAUUGCUUAUUUUUCAUAAAUCUUUAGUAGGAAAUGAUGUCUUCUUGCCUUCAAAUAUCAAAAGAUGUGUUGUUAUAAUGAGAUGAACAAACUUUUUUUGGCCCCGGAUAAUUAAAGAAAACUUAGCCUUAUUUUUAAAUUAUGUAUCUGAAGCACAGUACUAUUUAAAAUAAUCAAAUUAUUCCCACUUUUUUCUUUACUUUGGGUGGAAUAUAACUAUAGUAUUUUGUUACCAUUUAUCUCUUUCAGCAAUUUUCUUUAUGUCCUUGAAAGAUCCAUCUUUGAUCAGAUCAAAUUAUUUCCAUUUUUAUUUCUUUGUAUUUGUAUUAUUAAAAUAUCUAAUUACCUUAUUCAUAUUUAUUAUUUAGAUAUUAUAUAAUGUAUAAUUUUUAAUUUUUAACAUUAACAUAACAAUGUCUAUGGCCCCUUAGCCGCUAUUUAUAAAUUUUCAUAAUUUUUACAUAAAUACCACUGAAAUUUAAAACCUGAUUCAAGUAGAUGAUUAGAAUAAUGAUCUCUCUCUGCUAGACAGUAACUUUUUAUAGAGCUAUAUUUUGAGUUGUACCUCUUGUUGUAUAAUACACCUUCCAUCUGAUGUUUAGAAAC